AUUGAACGCUGGCGGCAGGCUUAACACAUGCAAGUCGAGCGGAGAUGAGGUGCUUGCACCUUAUCUUAGCGGCGGACGGGUGAGUAAUGCUUAGGAAUCUGCCUAUUAGUGGGGGACAACAUUCCGAAAGGAAUGCUAAUACCGCAUACGCCCUACGGGGGAAAGCAGGGGAUCUUCGGACCUUGCGCUAAUAGAUGAGCCUAAGUCGGAUUAGCUAGUUGGUGGGGUAAAGGCCUACCAAGGCGACGAUCUGUAGCGGGUCUGAGAGGAUGAUCCGCCACACUGGGACUGAGACACGGCCCAGACUCCUACGGGAGGUAGCAGUGGGGAAUAUUGGACAAUGGGCGGAAGCCUGAUCCAGCCGUGCCGCGUGUGUGAAGAAGGCCUUUUGGUUGUAAAGCACUUUAAGCGAGGAGGAGGCUACCUGGAUUAAUACUCUAGGAUAGUGGACGUUACUCGCAGAAUAAGCACCGGCUAACUCUGUGCCAGCCGCCGCAGUAAAAC
rnacentral:rRNA from 1 species